rnacentral:rRNA from 1 species
GAUGAACGCUGGCGGCGUGCCUAAUACAUGCAAGUCGAGCGAACAGAUGCGGAGCUUGCUCCUCUGACGUUAGCGGCGGACGGGUGAGUAACACGUGGAUAACCUACCUAUAAGACUGGGAUAACUUCGUGAAACCGGAGCUAAUACCGGAUAAUAUAUUGAACCGCAUGGUUCAAUAGUGAAAGACGGUUUUGCUGUCACUUAUAGAUGGAUCCGCGCCGCAUUAGCUAGUUGGUAAGGUAACGGCUUACCAAGGCAACUAGGGGUAGCCGACCUGCAGGGGGGGAUGGCUAGACUGGCAGAGAGAAACGGCACAGACUCUGAGGGGAGGCCGCAGUAGGGAAUCUUACGCAAUGGGGGAAAGGCUGACGGAGCAACGCCGCGGGAGUGAUGAAGGUCUUCGGAUCGGAAAACUAUGUUAGUAGGGAAAAACAAAUGUGUAAGUAACUAGGCACGUCUUGACGGUACCUAAUCAGAAAGCCACGGCUAACUACGUG